UGGAUGAAGGUAUAGAACUCUCUGCUCCUCCCUCUCCUUGCCUGCCUGGACACUGCUGUACUUCCUGCCAUUCUGAUAAUGGAUUCAACCUCCGAACCUAACAACACACCUAAGAAAAGAUUCCACAGAAGCCAAGCUUGGUGAAUCAAGUGGCUUAUUGCAGUUACUUUCCAAGAUCAUGGAGCACACAGUUUUCUUCCAUCCCCUUCUGCGACAGUCAAGACCACACAGACUUCUGCCCUGUAAGAAAAGGCAAUCAGCUUCGUGAAUCUUCCUGAGAUGUUGGGACUUCAGGAAAGUUGAGAUGUAUUUAGGGUCAGAACGGCAGAUGGGCAUCCAGAGACCUUUCCAUGAAGACAUUUCCUACAUUGCCUAAAGACUAGGCAAAGGUAGGAUUCUGCGUCUCCAAGGCCCAGAAACUUGCUGACAUUUCUGUUCUCAUUCUAAAUAAACAUCCUCUUUCAAAGUUU
rnacentral:lncRNA from 1 species